UUGCGUUUUGCACUAAAACAUAAUUUAAUAAAAGAAAGUGAUUCCGUUACCAUAUUUUUCGAUAUUGUUGCAAGACAUGUAGAAGAUUGUUGUUUACCUAAUAUUAUAAUAAGCAAAACACAAGAUAAAUUUUCAAGUAUGUAUGCACCAUUUGAAAGAAACAUAAGCAUACUUGCAGUUAUGAGUUUUCGUAUUAAUCACAUAUAUUCAAAUGAAGGUCUUGAAAAGAUCACCGACACCAAAUUGCUCUUUGUAGAACUGCUAAACCACGAUUACACAAAAA